AACGAACGCUGGCGGCAGGCUUAACACAUGCAAGUCGAACGAGAUCUUCGGAUCUAGUGGCAGACGGGUGAGGAACACGUGGGAACAUCCCUUUCAGUUCGGAAUAACGUUGGGAAACUAACGCUAAUACCGGAUACGUCCUUCGGGAGAAAGAUUUAUCGCUGAAAGAUUGGCCCGCGUCUGAUUAGCUAGUUGGUGAGGUAAUGGCUCACCAAGGCUACGAUCAGUAGCUGAUCUGAGAGGAUGAUCAGCCACAUUGGGACUGAGACACGGCCCAAACUCCUACGGGAGGCAGCAGUGGGGAAUAUUGGACAAUGGGCGCAAGCCUGAUCCAGCCAUGCCGCGUGAGUGAUGAAGGCCUUCGGGUUGUAAAGCUCUUUUAUCCGGGAAGAUAAUGACUGUACCGGAAGAAUAAGCCCCGGCAAACUUCGUGCCAGCAGCCGCUGCCG
rnacentral:rRNA from 1 species